GAUGAACGCUGGCGGCGUGCCUAAUACAUGCAAGUCGAGCGAACAGACGAGGAGCUUGCUCCUCUGACGUUAGCGGCGGACGGGUGAGUAACACGUGGAUAACCUACCUAUAAGACUGGGAUAACUUCGGGAAACCGGAGCUAAUACCGGAUAACAUGUUGAACCGCAUGGUUUAACAGUGAAAGACGGUCUUGCUGUCACUUAUAGAUGGAUCCGCGCCGCAUUAGCUAGUUGGUAAGGUAACGGCUUACCAAGGCAACGAUGCGUAGCCGACCUGAGAGGGUGAGCGGCCACACUGGAACUGAGACACGGUCCAGACUCCUACGGGAGGCAGCAGUAGGGAAUCUUCCGCAAUGGGCGAAAGCCUGACGGAGCAACGCCGCGUGAGUGAAGAAGGUCUUCGGAUCGUAAAACUCUGUUAUUAGGGAAGAACAAAUGUGUAAGUAACUAUGCACGUCUUGACGGUACCUAAUCAGAAAGCCACGGCUAACUACGUG
rnacentral:rRNA from 1 species